rnacentral:rRNA from 1 species
AUGGGCCUAAUGGGCCCGUUAGUCUUAGGGUUAAUUAGAGAUAAGAGUCGCUUGCUUAGGGGUCAAGUUGACUGUCCUUUUCCUCCAUCGGAUAAGAUUGCCAUAAAUUUUGUUCGAACGGGAAAAGAAGAAAUAGUACCAAUGGAAGAGAUGAAGAUGUCAUGGGUGCCUUAUGUUCCUCUUCAGGACCGGUUUGGCUGGAUUGAAAGUUUGAAAACAAAAAUCUUCACUCUCUGUUGCACCCAGCGGAGGUCUGCGCUGAACCGAAUGGAAACUGAGAGAGCCAACAAGUUCUACUACUACACGCCCUACAUACCACUAAAUCCUCCUGAAGAUGAAGGUGGCACAGUUGUCCGCGUCAUAUAUCCUCUAGAAUCCCCGAUAGUUUGUGAUUUUCACUUGGAAUUGGAUGAUUACAAGGUUUUAGCUCAUAAGCUAGUCGAAGAUGAGGGGUUGCCAGAGGAUGAGAGGGAAAAAAUUGAGGCUGAAGAAGCCAGGAAGAAAGCUAUUGAAGAUAUGGACCCUAAGCAAAGAGAGGCAUUUGAAAACAUGGAACUUUACAAAUUAUAUCCCGUGAAAACCCCGGAUACACCUGAUGUUAACAAUAUGAAGUCGAGGUACAUCAACAGAUAUUAUGGCCGCGCACAUUAUCUGAUGUAA